rnacentral:rRNA from 1 species
GAUGAACGCUAGCGGCAGGCUUAACACAUGCAAGUCGAGGGGUAUAGGUUUUCGGACCUAGAGACCGGCGCACGGGUGCGUAACGCGUAUGCAAUCUACCUUUCACAGAGGGAUAGCCCAGAGAAAUUUGGAUUAAUACCUCAUAGUAUUAUGAAGUGGCAUCAUUUUAUAAUUAAAGUUCCAACGGUGAAAGAUGAGCAUGCGUCCCAUUAGCUAGAUGGUAAGGUAACGGCUUACCAUGGCUACGAUGGGUAGGGGUCCUGAGAGGGAGAACCCCCACACUGGUACUGAGACACGGACCAGACUCCUACGGGAGGCAGCAGUGAGGAAUAUUGGUCAAUGGACGCAAGUCUGAACCAGCCAUGCCGCGUGCAGGAUGACGGUCCUAUGGAUUGUAAACUGCUUUUGUACGAGAAGAAACACUCCUUCGUGAAGGAGCUUGACGGUAUCGUAAGAAUAAGGAUCGGCUAACUCCGUGCCAGCCGCCGCUGUAACAC